UCAAGUUAUUAAGGGUGCAGGGCGGAUGCCUUGGCACUAGGAGCCGAUGAAGGACGUGAUAAGCUGCGAUAAGCUUCGGGGAGUUGCACGUAAACUUUGAUCCGAAGAUUUCCGAAUGAGGAAACUCACUUAGAGUAAUGUCUAAGUAUCAUUAAGUGAAUACAUAGCUUAAUGAGGGGAACUCAGGGAACUGAAACAUCUAAGUACCUGAAGGAAGAGAAAGAAAUUCGAUUCCGUAAGUAGCGGCGAGCGAACGCGGAUUAGCCCAAACCAAUAAAGUUUUCUUUAUUGGGGUUGCGGACAUAUCAUAACGAAGAGGUAUCGUAAUUGAAGAGGUUUGGAAAGACCCACCACAGAAGGUAAUAGUCCUGUAUGUUAAACGAGAAGACUUCAGAUAUGAUCCAGAGUACCACGGGACACGUGAAACCCUGUGGGAAGCAGGAGGGACCACCCUCCAAGGCUAAAUACUACCUAGUGACCGAUAGCGUAUAGUACCGUGAGGGAAAGGUGAAAAGAACCCCGGGAGGGGAGUGAAAUAGAACCUGAAACCCUGCACUUACAAGCUGUGGAAGCACAUUUCUUGUGUGACCGCGUACUUUUUGUAGAACGGGCCAACGAGUUACGUUAAGUAGCAAGGUUAAGCACUUAAGGUGCGGAGCCGUAGCGAAAGCGAGUUUUAACUGAGCGUUCAGUUACUUGACGUAGACCCGAAACCGGGCGACCUACCCAUGAGCAGGAUGAAGCGAAAGUAAAAUUUCGUGGAGGUCCGAACCCACGAGCGUUGAAAAGCUCGGGGAUGACUUGUGGGUAGCGGUGAAAUUCCAAUCGAGCCCGGAGAUAGCUGGUUCUCCCCGAAAUAGCUUUAGGGCUAGCCUCAAGGUGAGAGAUACGGAGGUAGAGCACUGAAUGUCCUAGGGGGUAUUGCACCUACCGAAGACUAUCAAACUCCGAAUGCCGUCAUCUUAUACUUGGGAGUCAGACUGUGGGUGAUAAGAUUCAUAGUCGAAAGGGCAACAGCCCAGAUCGUCAGCUAAGGUCCCUAAAUGUAAGUUAAGUGGUAAAGGAUGUGGGAUUGCACAGACAACCAGGAUGUUGGCUUAGAAGCAGCCACUCAUUCAAAGAGUGCGUAAUAGCUCACUGGUCGAGUGAUCCUGCGCCGAAGAUUUCCGGGGCUAAAACUUACUACCGAAGCUACGGCAUCAGUAAUGAUGGGUAGGGGAGCUUCCCAUACGGGUUGAAGCAUGACCGUAAGGACAUGUGGACAGUAUGGGAGUGAGAAUGUUGGCAUGAGUAGCGAGAUGUGGGUGAGAAUCCCACAGGCCGUAAACCCAAGGUUUCCAGGGGAAGGUUCGUCCGCCCUGGGUUAGUCGGGACCUAAGCUGAGGCCGAAAGGCGUAGGUGAUGGACAACAGGUUGAUAUUCCUGUACUACCGAUAACCGUUUGAGAGAAGGGAUGACACAGUAGGAUAAGCUAAGCACACUGUUGGUUAUGUGUGCCCAAGCAUUGAGGCAGUCAAAGCAGGCAAAUCCGCUUUGAUAAUGCUGGGAUGUGAUGGGGAGCGAAAUUUAGUAGCGAAGUAGCUGAUUUCACACUGUCAAGAAAAGUCUCUAUCGAGGUUAAAGGUACCCGUACCGCAAACCGACACAGGUGGGUGAGGAGAGUAUCCUAAGGCCAGCGAGAGAACUGUUGUUAAGGAACUCGGCAAAAUGACCCCGUAACUUAGGGAUAAGGGGUGCCACCAUCCGGUGGCCGCAGAGAAUAGGCCCAAGCGACUGUUUACCAAAAACAUAGGUUUCUGCUAAGUCGCAAGACGAUGUAUAGGAGCUGACGCCUGCCCGGUGCUGGAAGGUUAAGGGGAUCUGUUAGAGCAAUCGAAGCAGUGAACUUAAGCCCCAGUAAACGGCGGCCGUAACUAUAACGGUCCUAAGGUAGCGAAAUUCCUUGUCGGGUAAGUUCCGACCCGCACGAAAGGCGUAACGAUUUGGGCACUGUCUCAACAACAGACUCGGUGAAAUUGUAAUUCCGGUGAAGAUGCCGGAUACCUGCGACAGGACGGAAAGACCCCAUGGAGCUUUACUGUAGCUUGACAUUGGGUCUUGGUACUACAUGUACAGGAUAGGUGGGAGGCUUUGAAACCAGGACGCCAGUUUUGGCGGAGCCAUCCUUGGGAUACCACCCUUGUAGUACUGGGACUCUAACCAUAGGCCAUGAAUCUGGUCUUGGGACACUGUCAGGUGGGCAGUUUGACUGGGGCGGUCGCCUCCCAAAAGGUAACGGAGGCGCUCAAAGGUUCUCUCAGUACGGUCGGAAAUCGUACGUAGAGUGUAAAGGCAAAAGAGAGCUUGAUUGCAAGACAUACAGGUCGAGCAAGGAUGAAAAUCGGACUUAGUGAUCCGGUGGUUCUGCGUGGAAGGGCCAUCGCUCAACGGAUAAAAGCUACCCUGGGGAUAACAGGCUUAUCUCCCCCAAGAGUCCACAUCGACGGGGAGGUUUGGCACCUCGAUGUCGGCUCAUCACAUCCUGGGGCUGUAGUAGGUCCCAAGGGUUGGGCUGUUCGCCCAUUAAAGUGGUACGCGAGCUGGGUUCAGAACGUCGUGAGACAGUUCGGUCCCUAUCCGUCGCAGGCGUAGGAAAUUUGAGAAGACCUGUCCUUAGUACGAGAGGACCGGGAUGGACGUACCUCUGGUGUACCAGUUGU
rnacentral:rRNA from 1 species